AACGAACGCUGGCGGCAGGCUUAACACAUGCAAGUCGAACGCCCCUUACGGGGAGUGGCAGACGGGUGAGUAACGCGUGGGAAUCUACUCAUCUCUACGGAAUAACGCAUGGAAACGUGUGCUAAUACCGUAUACGCCCUUUGGGGGAAAGAUUUAUCGGGGUACGAUGAGCCCGCGUUGGAUUAGCUAGUUGGUGGGGUAAAGGCCUACCAAGGCGACGAUCCAUAGCUGGUCUGAGAGGAUGAUCAGCCACAUUGGGACUGAGACACGGCCCAAACUCCUACGGGAGGCAGCAGUGGGGAAUAUUGGACAAUGGGCGCAAGCCUGAUCCAGCCAUGCCGCGUGAGUGAUGAAGGUCUUAGGAUUGUAAAGCUCUUUCACCGAUGAAGAUAAUGACGGUAGUCGGAGAAGAAGCCCCGGCUAGCUUCGUGCCAGCCGCCGCAGUAAAAC
rnacentral:rRNA from 1 species